GACGAACGCUGGCGGCGGGCUUAACACAUGCAAGUCGAGCGGAAAGGCCUGCUUUCCCUUGUGGUUUGCGGGUACUCGAGGGGCGAAGGGGGGAGUAACACGUUCGUGAUCGGCCACCAACUUGGGUAUAAGCCGGGGAAACAAGGCCUAAUCCCCGUUAGGACUGCAGGGUGGAUCCGGUGGGGGUAAACGAUUUUCUAGUGAGUGGGGAUGAGCUCGCGGCCUAGCAGCUUGUGGGUGGGGUGAUGGCCUACCACGGCGAGGACGGGUGGCCGGCCUGGGAGGGGGGACGCCAACAUGGAGACUGGGCACCGGCCCAGACUCCUACGGGGGGCAGCAGUGGGGAAUAUGGCACAAUGGGGGGAAGCUUGAUGCAGCGAGGCGGGGUGGGGGAUGCCGGCCUUCGGGUUGUAAACUCCUUUCGACCGCGAGUAAGGCAGGUGGGUGGAAGGGUGGUGACGGUAGUUUUUGAAGAAGCACCGGCUAACUACGUG
rnacentral:rRNA from 1 species